CAUUCAAAAAAUGGCAAAGAAGAAAUAAAAAGGAAAAAAGAAGGUGCUGCUUUGCGCCUUCACACCUCGCAUUUCAGCUUUUCAUUUUCUCUUCUCUUUUUACCCUCUCCCUCUCCC
rnacentral:ribozyme from 1 species